rnacentral:rRNA from 1 species
GACGAACGCUGGCGGCGUGCUUAACACAUGCAAGUCGAGCGGAAAGGCCCUUUCGGGGGUACUCGAGCGGCGAACGGGUGAGUAACACGUGAGUAAUCUGCCCUUGGCUUCGGGAUAACCACCGGAAACGGUGGCUAAUACCGGAUAUGACCUCCCUUCGCAUGUUGGGUGGUGGAAAAGUCCGCUGGACAGGGAUGAGCUCGCGGCCUAUCAGCUUGUUGGUGGGGUAAUGGCCUACCAAGGCGACGACGGGUAGCCGGCCUGAGAGGGUGACCGGCCACACUGGGACUGAGACACGGCCCAGACCCCUACGGGAGGCAGCAGUGGGGAAUAUUGGACAAUGGGCGAAAGCCUGAUCCAGCAACGCCGCGUGAGGGAUGACGGCCUUCGGGUUGUAAACCUCUUUCAGCAGGGACGAAGCGAAAGUGACGGUACCUGCAGAAGAAGGACCGGCCAACUACGUGCCAGCAGCCGCCGUAAUAC